ensembl:lncRNA
GGGGGGUCGCGAUGAAGGUGAGGUUUGGGGUGUGUGUGUUGAGGGGGGGUGGGGGUGGUGGUGUUGUUGAGCCGGCCCUCCUGUCUGCAGUGGUAUAUCACUAGGUCUGUGUGAGAGAGGACAGAGGGAUGGUGUGGAUAGAACACUGUGGGUAACUGUGUGUGUGUAAGUGUGUAUGCGUGUGUGUUUGUGUGUGUGUGUGUGUGUGGGAAGAGGCUGUGGGUAGCUGCCCUGUGUUCAGAGGUGAGGUAGAGCCUGUUAGCACAGAGGCAGUCUAUGAGCCACAGCCGGAGGUGUGCCCACGUUUGAGGUAAAUAUGAUGGCCAUUCCUGCAGCCCUAACCGCCAAUGGUUGUUCUGUGUCUGUGUUUGUGUGUGUGUGUGUGUGUGUGUGUGUGUGUGUGUGUGUGUGUGUGCGUGUUACCAUGGCGGCCGUGGCUGCGGAGCGAGGAGGAUCUGGACUGAAACUCACAGAGCCCUGGACGGCAGGGCUUACAUUAGCACUGCAGUGCAUACAGUUAAAAAUGAGGCAUUUGAGUUUUUUUUUCUUUUUUUUUUCUGAGGUGUGUGUGUCUCGUGUGUCUACAUGAGUGUGUCAAGGAUGACGGCCUUGGCUACCCUGUUCUGAUGCUAAUCAGUGCUAUUCAGAUAGUCUGCGCACUGAGGAGGUGUGUGUGUGUGUGUGUGUGUGUGUGUGUGGUCAAAGGCUGGAUUCUUUACAAGUUGCUGGGCACUGGACCCAUUAACCAGCUCUUUUAAAGUUGGUCUCGCUUUCACUCACUCCUUUCAGUCUCUUCUCACACUCUCCUUAUUAUCCGAACACCACUCUCUUACUCUCUCUCUCUCUCUCUCUUUCUCUUUCUCUCUCUUUCUCGAAGUCUCCUCUACAGUGACUUUCCUGGGAAAGAAGGGCUCAAUUAUCAUUCAAGCGAGGCCUGGGGGCUGGCAGAGGAAGGCUAGGCAAUGACAUGGCAGACCCACACACAACGGUACUGAGGUUGCACUGUUUUUCAUUUAUGUGCAUAUGUGUGUGUGUGUGUGUGUGUGUGUGUGUGUGUGUGUGUGUGCUCACGUAAGUGUAUAUGUGUGCCUCAGGUAGUUCUUCUCGGAAACAACAUUAAAAAAAGAAAAAAGAAAAAAAAAAGAGAUGUAGAC